UAUUCGCUGCGUUAGCAGUGAAUACAGUUCUAUCACAAUUUGCGGGAUUUCAAUAUAAGAAUGGGUACCUAACAACGCAAAGUAGUUCUACACAGAUUUUCUUGUCACACACAAGUGAUAAGAUUUUGAAUUGUCAGUAGUUCAUUUUUGAUUGUGUUAUUUCUAUCGUAUAUUAUUUGCAUGUUUUCAGGAUAUAAUCAGUAAAAAAUAUCAUUAGUAUUCAUUCGCGUUAACUUUGAGUAAGGAAGUAGUUCGUACCAAAACAAAGUUUUCGACGCUAUUUUUGUAUGUGAAAGCUGAUCUCAUCAUUUUCUAAAAGUAGGUACAGAAAACUUACCAAUAUUAUUUGAACUUAAUGUAAUCUGUUUUGGAAUUCUUAUUUGGAUUUCAUGAUGUGUAACAGUGUUGAUAAUUCAGGUGUCUUGAUAUAUUUUUUGUUGUUUGAGUUGUUUCCCUUGGUUUCCCGCAAUAUCACUAGUUUUGUCUAUGUUUAAGCGGCUUUGUUUGUAAAAAGUUCAAAGUGUUCUUAAUUUAUUGGAAAUAUGGAUUAUUGAUAGUUGAAGUUACAGCAGAGAGAGAGUUUGACAGUAUGCGUGUCUGAAGAAGAUAAUGCUAUUAUUGGUACAUUCAAUUCCACGAACUGAGUGUUGGUUUCCUCGAUUUCAUUGACUCUAUGAUUCAUUCUCUGAUUGAUGAUUGUUGAUUGAAUGUUUUAAUGAUCAAUCAACUUAUUGAUUUACUGAUUGAUUGGACAUGUCAUGGAGCUUAAUAUAGAUGGAGAAGUAACUUAGACGUCAUACAGUUAAAUUCAGUAUUAUUGGGGUUGUUCUAACGCAAGUUAUCAUGUGUUUCGGGAUUUUCCAAGAUUUGAUGCAUCCUGGGUAAUAGUAGCCAAAAUACCGCCAUAUUGAAUUCCAAGAGGAACAUUGACAAAAAAAGACGAAGCAUUUUCUACUUACAUAAGAAGCAAUAGUAAUUUAUGUUAAAACGUAUCAUACACACUUUUCUACACAGAUAUUUUUUUAAAAAAAACAACGUCGGCAAUGUAAACAGUAGUUCAUGGAUAUCGCCAAAGUUUAACGAGAGUGCGAGAAUCGGGGACUAGUGGGAAAACCCGAUUAUCACGGAAGCGCACUGUGGAUCUGAAUCUGACUUUCAACUAUUUUCUGAGCUUCCUAUCCAUUGUAUAUAUAUCUGUGGACAUGUAAGACGAAUAUAUGUGAACUGUAAGAUGUUGAAAUGUGCAAAGUUGUUUGUUUAGAAGAGAAAUACGCAAUUUUUGGAGAAACUUUUUGUUUGAAUGAUCAAGGUAUAAACACUUUUUGUAAAUGAACAUCAGGCUACCAUUUUCAUAGUUAUGGCAGGGCUUCCAUUAAUGGAAGUUUGGGAGUCAUUUCACUCCUUGAAUUUGGCUUGUGACUUCCAAAAUGUAAUGCUUUUUUCUUCUUUACCAAUAUUUUGUGACUUCCAAUGUCAAGACAUUUUGCAGUCUUUGACUUCCAAAUUUUGGAUCUUAAUGGAAGCCCUGAAUGCCAAUGGACCUACAUGUUUCACCUAAAUUGUAUUGGAAAUAUGUGAAAAACUUCCUUUUAAAAAGUUUCUAGCUGAAGUUAAGCAGAGAAAUGCAUUGGAUACCUCAGAAUAUUGCUAUGUUUUUAAAAAAAAUCCAAGCCUUAUGGUCACAUAUUCAUUGUGACUUCCAAAAUGUAAUGCUUUUUUCUUCUUUACCAAUAUUUUGUGACUUCCAAUGUCAAGACAUUUGCAGUCUUUGACUUCCAAAUUUUGGAUCUUAAUGGAAGCCCUGAAUGCCAAUGGACCUACAUGUUUCACCUAAAUUGUAUUGGAAAUAUGUGAAAAACUUCCUUUUAAAAAGUUUCUAGCUGAAGUUAAGCAGAGAAACAGAAUAUUGCUAUGUUGUUAAAAAAUUUCCAAGCCUUAUGGUCACAUAUUCAUGGAAAAAUUCGAAGAAAGGAAAAUAGAUUGUCAGGUGUAUAGAUUUCCAGUCUGCUUAUCAUUUACAUACAAUCUGGAAAACUUCAGUAGUGUCACUGGGGUCAAAAUUAAUCCUGUCUAAUGGUAAUGUUGUAAAAAGUUUAAUGUAUAUAUGUAUUAUAAUAGAAAUUAGAUAUAUGUAUGGAUAUUUUGUGUAAACCAACACGUGAAAACCCUGGAACAUCAUUGCUAAAGCAAUAUUGUUAGGUACAAUACCAUACAUUUAAUAGGCAAGAAAGGUACGGUAAUAAUAUCAUUUACUAUAGAUUUAGAAUGCAAGAAAAGAUAAAAUAUCAUUCCUCGCUUCUUAGUACAAAAAGUUCCAUAUCACUUUUAUAUUUAUGUUUACUGCAUAAAACACUUUCUUACUUUUCAUUUUUAGCUAGACUAUACAAAGUAUAUGGAGAGCCGUCCUACUUGCCCCGGCGUCCGCGUCCUUAUUCAGAUUAAAGUUUUGGUUUUCCAUAUCAUCAACCACAUCUUAUGUGACAAGGUUCAUAACUCUAGCACCACUAUUUUCAGAUUUAUCUCCCCUUGAACUUAGAAUUUUCCUUAAAAAAUAUUAUUUUCUAUCGUUACUUCCUUAUUUCUUAAGGGAUCAACUUCAUACUUCAAAUAUAUGUUCCUUAUCAUCAACCACAUCUUAUGUGACAAGGUUCAUUACUCUAGCACCAAUAUUUUCAAAUUUAUCUCCUCUUGAAGAUAGAAUUUUCCUAAAAAGAGUUAUUUUUAGCUCGACUAUUCAAUAAGAAUAAGUAGAGCUAUUCAAUUGUAGUCACCAGUGCGUCAGUGUUGGUGUCGGCAUCUGUGUCAGCGUAGGUGUAAUAACUUAUGUUAAAGUUUUUGUAAUAUCUCAAAUAUCAAAGUCCAUUGAUAUAUGGCUUUGAAACUUUGCACACUUGUUCACCAUCAUGACCCAACCUGUAGACAGGAGGAGAUAACUGGAUCAAGCAUUUUGACAGAAUUAUGCCCCUUUUCUGACUUAGAUUAUAUGUUAUUUAAUUAAAGUUUGCAUACCACCUCAGAUAUUUUCAUAUACUGUUGACAUCUGGCUAGGAACAAGUUGAAAUUUUAUACUCUUCUUUGAGAGCAUAAUAGGACUCUCUUCAAGGCCUAUAACAGUAACAUGGAUUGAAAGGAAAAUUUGGCCCUAUAACAGUAACAUGGAUUUAAAGGAAAAUUUGGCCCUUUUGUUAACAUUUUACAUUAUCAAGGCUCUUUUUCUAUCAAGCACUUAGAAUGGUAGAGCGUUGCUGUCCUACCGACAGCUAUUAUUUACUGUUACUUAUUUAUUUCUUAAGGGAUCAACUUCAUAUUUCAAAUAUAUGUUCCUUAUCAUUAACCAAAUGUUAUGUGACAAGGUUGUUAACGCUAGCACCAAUAUUGCAAGAAUUACCUCCCCAUGAACUUAGAUUUUUUUUACUUGAAAAAUAUUAUUUUUUACUAUGACUUUUUAGCUCACCUGUCACAAAGUGACAGGGUGAGCUUUUGUGAUCGCUUUUCGUCCGGCGUCCGUCCAUCGUCCGUCCGUAAAAUUUUUCUUUAAAUGACAUCUCCUCAUAAACCACUGAGCCAAUUUCAUCCAAACUUCACAGGAAUGUUCCUUUGGUGGUCACCUUUAAAAAAUGUUCAAAGAAUUUAAUUCCAUGCAGAACUCUGGUUGCCAUGGCAACUGAAAGAAAAAUCUUUAAAUAUCUUCUUUUAAACAACCCUAAGAGCUAGAGCUUAGAUAUUUGGCAUGAAACAUCUUCUAGUGAGUGUCUACCAAGUUUGUUCAAAUAAAAGCCCUUGGGUCAAAAUUGGCCCCGCCCCAGGGGGUCAUUGAUUUUCCCUAUAUGCAUAUAGUAAAAACUUAUAAAAUCUUCUUUUAAAGAACCCAAAGAGCUAGAGCUAAGAUAUUUAGCAUGAAACAUCUUCUAAUGGGUGUCUACCAAGUUUGUUCAAAUAAAAGCCCUAGGGUCAAAAUUGGCCCCGCCCCAGGGGGUCAUUGAUUUUCCCUAUAUGCAUAUAGUAAAAACUUAAUAAAAUCUUCUUUUAAAGAACCCAUAGAGCUAGAGCUUAGAUAUUAAGCAUGAAACAUCUUCUAGUGAGUGUCUACCAAGUUUGUUCAAAUUAAAGCCCUGGGGUCAAAAUUGGCCCCGCCCCAAGGGUCAUUGAUUUCUCUUAUAUGUGUAUUAUACUAUAGCAAAAACUUAAAAAAUCUUCUUUGAAAAAAAACAAAUAGCUAGAGUUUAGAUACUAAGCAUGAAACAUCUUCUAGUGAGUCUCUACCAAGUUUGUUAAAAAAAAAAAAGCCCUGGGGUCAAAAUUGGCCCCGCCCCGGGGGACAUUCAUUUUCCUUAUUUGUGUAUAACAAAAACUUAAAAAAUCUUCUUUGAAGAAACUCAAAUAGCUAGAGUUUAAAUAUUAAGCACGAAGCAUCUUCUAGUAAGUGUCUACAAAGAUUGUUCAAAUAAAAGCCCUGGGGUCAAAAUUGGCCCCGCCCCAGGUGUGUCACUGUUUUUAACUAAAUGUGUAAAGAAAUAACUUGACCAGCUAGACCUUAGAUGUUUAGCAUGAAACAUCUUCUAAUGGGUGUCUACCAGUCUACCAAGUUUGUUCAAAUAAAAGCCCUGGGGUUUAAACUGGCCCCGCUUCAGGGACCUAUAUACAGGUGAGCGACUUCAGGGCCAUCAUGGCCCUCUUGUUUUUGUUUUUUUUUUGUUUUUUUUUUUUAAUUUUGAAAUCAUUCAUUUAUUAUUGUUGAAAUCUACUUAUAAUACCUUUAAAAUACCAUGUUCCCAGUACUUUUUAUUUACAUGCUUAAGUUGUUCUUAACAUACACAAAACAAACUUGUACAUUCCUUUAUUAGAAAUUGUCUUUUUUUAUAUAACCAGGCACAAGUGACAAGAUAAUAUUUAUUUAUAUGCUAUUAUCAUUGUGGACACAAACUGUAAACAAAGGUAUCAUUUUUGAUUCUAGUCAAAGUAAAAACAAACAGUGAUUGCACUAGAGUUAUAUCAGAAAGUUUGUGGGAGCUUUACAUGCUCAUAACAUUUCUAUCUUUGUCAGAGAAAUAUUUGAUUUCUGAGAACUAUUUUGACUUCAAUUUCCAAAGAAACAUGAAACUACACCCCAAAUUUAAAUGCAUAAUAACUAUUACAUUUGUUUGACUUAACUGUUUCUUAUGGUCAAUAGUGUUACAUGUAUAUAAUUUUUGAUGUUCAUUUUACAUUUGCUUGUUUUUCUAUCAUUUCAAUCCAUUGUCUUAAUCAUUAUAUAACUUGAUUAUACCCUGUAGCAUUGUUUUUAGAUUUACAUUGUAUUUGCAAUUUUGUGAACAUUUAUCAGUAAGUAAUAUUCUUAAUAAAAGAAAUUUCACAAUUGAUAUGAAGUACCAAGCCAUUUAUUGAGUGUGUUUCCGAUUUAUGAAAAUGUUUUUAACAAAUGACUUAAAAUUGAGCAAUCACCAUACUUUCUAGCAUAAGAAUCUUGAAAUAAAAUUACUUAAAUUGCAAGCAAGUUGCAAUUUUAUACAUGAGAUAAACUUAUCGUGACCAAAUUUGUUUUUCAUGUUAGCAAGUUCUGUAUAUAUGCUUUAAUUAGAAAAGUACAUGAUUAUGUAUGAAGUAACUGAAAUAUUGAAAGCUUUAUAAUAGAAUGUUUGUCAUGCAACAUUAAAUUGUGUAAGAUUCAGACUAUUAGAUAAGGCGAUGUACUUAUUAAUGCUGUUAUAAUUACAUGUAUUAUUAUUGUGAGUAAAAAGGUUCUGGGGAUAUUUUUAUCAUGUUUUAACCAGGGGCAUAGAUAAUAUACAUUGUUUACUUUUUAUGCUCCCCGAAAAAUUUCGGGGGAGCAUAUAGUCGGCGCCUUGUCUGUCUGUCCGUCUGUCCGUUUUCUUGUCAGGAGCAUAACUUGAAAACCCUUGGAGAUAAUUUGUUUAAACUUCAUACAGUGGUAGAGGGCAUUGAGGGGGAGUGCAGUGUCAAAGAACCAUAACUCUAUUUUGCCCGGUUUUUGAAUUAUCUCCCCUUAUAGAAAAAUCUUGUCCGGGGCAUAACUCUAAAACUAUAAGAGAUAUCAACAUGAAACUUUGUAGGUGAAUAGAUCUCAAUUGGUAGAUGUGCAGUGCAUAAGAACAAUAACUCUUUUUGUCCUAAUUUUGGAGUUAUUGCCCUUUGUUAAUUUCAACACUUUGAACUUUGUCCGGAACAUAACUCUAAAACUAUAAGAGAUAUCAAGAUGAAACAUUGUAGGUAGAUAGAUCUCAUUAAGUAGAAGUGCAGUGCAAAAGAACCAUAACUCUGUUAAGCCUCAUUAUUGAAUUAUCUCCCCUUAUAGAAAAAUCUUGUCUGGGGCAUAACUCGAAAACUAUUAGAGAUAUCAACAUGAAACUUUGUUGGUGAAUAGAUCUCAAUGGGUAGAUGUGCAGUGCAUAAGAACAAUAACUCUUUUUGUCCUUAUUUUGGAGUUAUUGCCCUUUGUUAAUUUUAACACUGAACUUUGUCCGGAACAUAACUCUAAAAAUAUAAGAGAUAUCAAGAUGAAACAUUGUAGGUAGAUAGAUCUCAUUGAGUAGAAGUGCAGUGCAAAAAAAACAUAACUCUGUUAAGCCUCAUUUUUGAAUUAUCUCCCCUUUUAGAAAAAUCUUGUACUGGACAUAGCUGUAAAACUAUAAGAGAUAUUAACAUGAAACUUUGUAGGUAGAUGUAUCUCAAUGCAGUGCACGAGAAUCAUAACUUUGCCUUGCCUAAUUCUGGAGUUACUGCUCUUUGUUUAUUUUUACUUUUUGAAGUUGUGCGGAACAUAACUUGGAAACCAUAAGAGAUAUCAACAAGAAACUUUGUAAGUUGAUAGAUAACAGUGAUUAGAAGUGCAGUGCAAAGAACAAUAACUCCGCCUUUCCUAAUUUUGGAAUUAUUGCACUUUGAACUUUUUCCAGGAACAUAACUCUGAAACUACAAGAGGUGUACUUUCCUGUGUCCAAAACCUAUUCGGGGAGCAUCACCCGGCUCAAACCGGGCUCUGGUUUAUCAAUAUUGCAAUUGGUUUUAAAGCUGUGUUUUCUUAAAUAUGGAUAUUAUUGAAUCAUCCUUGACAUCAGUAUUCUCAUUUUUUUAGCUCACAUUAGCAAAAGCUCAGCUAUUACAGACAGUCAAAGAUUCCUGGUCUGUCCGUCAUCCAUAUUUCAAUAAUGUCAUAUUAAACUACUCAGUUUGAAAACGUCAAAAAUUCUCAUUUACUGUGUGCAAGAACGCUUUAAAUUAAUUUGGUCUUUUGCAUGAUAAGGUCACAGUAGGUAAAAAAAGAUUAGAUAUUACAACCAUCCUUUUCUCUUAUUGUCCCAUUUUGCUUGUUUUGCAUUAUUAAAGCCAUUUCCUCAUGCUCCCAUUCCAUUUGUAAUGUUUCUUUGCAAAAAAGUAAAUAACAGAAUUUUAAAAAAAAGUUUUGACUGUUACAGGCUAAUUAAAAAUAUAAUAGGCAAACUAUUAAAAGUACUUUUUUUGUAUUUUUUUAAUCUCGGAAAUUUUUUAAAUUAAAGUAUUUUACAAAAAUACCUAUAUUUUCUUCUUAAAUUUCAUGAAAUUAACAUGUUCCAAGUUUCACUUUUCAUCAUGUGAAAAACUGAAAUGCUUUAGCUAGGUAAUCUGUCUGUCAUUACAUUUGAAGCUUAUGUAGCAAUAUAGUAUUCUAGGUAUUGUUACUGUAUAUAUAUUCAUUAUAACAUAAUUCUCUCAUCAUGUUAAGGAUCUAGUCAUGAAUGUACUGCAUGCAUUCAUAUUUUGGAUGUAUAUUUUAUUGUACCACUUAGAUAAUGUAAUAAAGUUGUUCUCAUUUA